AUUGAACGCUGGCGGCAUGCCUUACACAUGCAAGUCGAACGGUAACAGGUCUUCGGAUGCUGACGAGUGGCGAACGGGUGAGUAAUGCAUCGGAACGUGCCCAGUAGUGGGGGAUAGCCCGGCGAAAGCCGGAUUAAUACCGCAUACGACCUGAGGGUGAAAGGGGGGGAUCGCAAGACCUCUCGCUAUUGGAGCGGCCGAUGUCAGAUUAGCUAGUUGGUGGGGUGAAGGCCUACCAAGGCAACGAUCUGUAGUUGGUCUGAGAGGACGACCAGCCACACUGGAGCUGAGACACGGCACAGACUCCUACGAGAGGCAGCGGUGGGGAAUUUUGGGCAAUGGGCGCAAGCCUGAUCCAGCAAUGCCGCGUGCAGGAAGAAGGCCUUCGGGUUGUAAACUGCUUUUGUCAGGGAAGAAAUCUUCUGGGUUAAUACCUCGGGAGGAUGACGGUACCUGAAGAAUAAGCACCGGCUAACUACGUGCCAGCCGCCGCGGUAAUAC
rnacentral:rRNA from 1 species